AACUUAUCAAGAGCGGUGGAGGGACUGGCCCGAAGAAACCCAGCAACCGGUGUAUUUUAGUAUAAAGUAUACUUGGUGCUAAAUCCAGCAGCGUAAGAGCUGAAAGAUAAGGU
rnacentral:ncRNA from 2 species